UACGUAGGGGGCAAGCGUUGUCCGGAAUCAUUGGGCGUAAAGCGCGUGUAGGCGGCCAGAAAAGUCCGCUGUGAAAACUCGAGGCUCAACUUCGAGCUGUCGGUGGAAACUUCUGACUAGAGUCCGGAAGAGGAGAAUGGAAUUCCUGGUGUAGCGGUGAAAUGCGCAGAUAUCAGGAAGAACACCCGUGGCGAAGGCGGUUCUCUGGGACGGUACUGACGCUGAGACGCGAAAGCGUGGGGAGCGAACAGG
rnacentral:rRNA from 1 species